rnacentral:rRNA from 1 species
UACGAAGGGUGCAAACGUUGCUCGGAAUUAUUGGGCGUAAAGCGCACGUAGGCGGCUUGGCAAGUCGGAUGUGAAAUCCCUCGGCUCAACCAAGGAAGUGCAUCCGAAACUGCUGAGCUUGAGUACUUAAGAGGAUCGCGGAAUUCCCGGUGUAGAGGUGAAAUUCGUAGAUAUCGGGGAGGAACACCAGUGGCGAAGGCGGCGAUCUGGGAAGAUACUGACGCUGAGGUGCGAAAGCGUGGGGAGCAAACAGG